rnacentral:rRNA from 1 species
UUUCGCAAUGCCCGAAAGGGUGACGAAGCGACGCCGCGUGAGUGAGGAAGGCCUUCGGGUUGUAAAGCUCUGUCAGGAGUUAAGAAAUAUAAGUGUGCUAAUACCACAUUUAUUUGACAAAAGCUCCAAAGGAAGCCACGGCUAACUCUGUGCCAGCAGCCGCGGUAAUACAGAGGUGGCAAGCGUUGUUCGGAAUUAUUGGGCGUAAAGAGCACGUAGGUGGGUUUGCAAGUCAGAUGUGAAAGCCUUCUGUUCAACGGAAGAAUUGCAUCUGAAACUGCAAACCUUGAGUGUAGGAGGGGAGAAUGGAACUUCUGGUGGAGCGGUGAAAUGCGUAAAUAUCAGAAGGAACGCCGGCGGCGAAAGCGACUCUCUGGCCUAUUACUGACACUGAGGUGCGAAAGUUAGGGGAGCAAACGGGAUUAGAUACCCCGGUAGUCCUAACCGUAAACGAUGGGCACUAAGUAGAGGGGUUUUA